rnacentral:lncRNA from 1 species
AGAUGGUGGUGAGAUGGGUGAGAAGGAACCAAGGGCGGAGGGAGACAAGGGCUGUUGCAGGAACUUUGGCCUACCUGUCAGUCCUGCCCUGCGUGUCACCUCAGCCUGGAAGUCCAUAGGACUGUGAUGAAGAUGACUGCUUGCAUUUUCUGAAUCACUUUGUCGAUGAGACAUGCAUCCUAUUAGAUCUAACAAAGCUUCACAGAAAGGUUGUUUUGAAGUUGACACUGAGGAAGAUAUAAGUGCUCUAGGAUCAGUAUGUGAGGCUGCCACAAACAUGCUAUAGUCUGCACAUUCUUGCAGAGAGGUUGCAGAGUCUGCUUGGGAGAGAAGCCUCAAAAACAUGGCUGGUGUCUUGGCAGAGUUUGCUCUGGCCCCCAGGAGGGUGUACAAACAGCCUUCAUGAGAAGGUGACUUGCUGGCCACUCUUAACCACUAGAAGAAACUGAUGCCAUGGAACUUUGAAAAAUCAGAAAGCAAUUCCACAAAAGAAGAACCUCUGAAGAUAGUAGAGCCCAAUGAAGAUAAAUGACAUCGCCCAUAGGAGGGAACAGUGGUAUCAACCUAAAGGGGCUCACUGCCCUAUGUGCUGGAGGCCAAUACUAUGACAAUGGGUUUUUGAGAAAAUAAAAGCUUUGCAUUGAGAUUCAAC